AUUGAACGCUGGCGGCAGGCCUAACACAUGCAAGUCGAGCGGCGCGGCAGACGGGGGCGUAAUGCUUAGGCAUCUGCCUGGUGGUGGGGGAUAACGUCAGGAAACGGGAGCUAAUACCGCAUACUAUCAGAAGAGCCUGGGUCCGAGUAGGUAGUUGGUGGGGUAAAGGCCUACCAAGGCGACGAUCCGUAACUGGUCUGAGAGGAUGAUCAGUCACACUGGAACUGAGACACGGUCCAGACUCCUACGGGAGGCAGCAGUGGGGAAUAUUGGACAAUGGGCGAAAGCCUGAUCCAGCCAUGCCGCGUGAGUGAAGAAGGUCUUCGGAUUGUAAAGCACUUUAAGUUGGGAGGCGUUACCAACAGAAGAAGCACCGGCUAACUCCGUGCCAGCCGCCGCGGUAAUAC
rnacentral:rRNA from 1 species